rnacentral:rRNA from 1 species
UGGGGAAUAUUGGACAAUGGGCGAAAGCCUGAUCCAGCCAUGCCGCGUGUGUGAAGAAGGUAUUCGGAUUGUAAAGCACUUUAAGUUGGGAGGAAGGGCAGUAAGCGAAUACCUUGCUGUUUUGACGUUACCGACAGAAUAAGCACCGGCUAACUCUGUGCCAGCAGCCGCGGUAAUACAGAGGGUGCAAGCGUUAAUCGGAAUUACUGGGCGUAAAGCGCGCGUAGGUGGUUCGUUAAGUUGAAUGUGAAAGCCCCGGGCUCAACCUGGGAACUGCAUCCAAAACUGGCGAGCUAGAGUAGGGCAGAGGGUGGUGGAAUUUCCUGUGUAACGGUGACAUGCGUGGAUAUAGGAAGGAACACCAGUGGCGAAGGCGACCACCUGGGCUCAUACUGACACUGAGGUGCGAAAGCGUGGGGAGCAAACAGG